UACACCAUAUUCCUCUGUCCUACUCGCCAGAUCUAGAUCUGCACCAAAUUCCUCUCUCUGCAUUUUCAAAAUUUGAAUUCCCAAGUGGAAAGAGAGGAGAGGGAGACAGAGAGAGAACGAGAAAUAGAGAGAGAGAGAUGCGAUGGAGAAGGAGAGAUGACGGCAUGAGAAACCCUAAAUACAAAAUCGUUCAGAUCUUGAAGGAUUUCCGAUACGAAACCUUUGUUAGACGAAUAACAUGAAGCCGGUUUCUUCAUCCGUAUGCGGACAACCAGGUCAGUGAAAUUUGAAUCGCCUUUUUGAAGGUUUUCUUGAGUUGCAGCAGGAAACAGAGGCUGCAAGAAACCAAUUGGAGGCAAUGAAGCAAAAGAAACAAACUUUAGAAGCUGAAGUUAGGCUCUUGAGGCGUCGACGCAAAUUUUUAUUGAAAACGAGAACAUCAACUUCACAAGAAGUGAUUUUACCGAAUAUAGAAACAACCCAAUACAGGAAAAGCAAGAAGGAGAAGGUUAAUAACCCGAAGAAGGCUGCGACUUUGACGAAUUUGCCCCCGACUCCAAACGUAAUCCAGAGGGGGAAAAUGUAUACAAAGAAGAAAAACAUUAUUAAUAACUUGGGAAGAAAUGUAAAUUUGUAUGGUGUCGAUCUAAACCAAAGGGUUAUAGGGAACAAUUCAUUUCCAGUGACCGAAUUUGUUCAGAAAGAAACAGAAAACGGUGUUAGUGGUGAGAAACCGUUGGUUCAAGCGCGUGCUCCUAUAUUCGACUUGAACCAGAUAUCAUGUAUUGGGGCUACAACACUUGAUGAGUACCAGAAGCAUAUUGAGAAGGACCUAGCACUGGAGAGACGUUUCCAGCCCGUAAAGGUGCCCGAGCCCAUAGUUGAUGAAACCAUACAGAUUUUAAAGGGGCUUGGAGAAUGAUAAGAAUAUCACAAUAAACUCCGUUACACCGAUGAUGCUCUGGUAGCUGCUGCUCAGCUGUCAUAUUGUCCCUGAGGUUUGCGACUUUUGUCCCAAGGUUUGUUUUGUCGCAUUUGGUUCCAAAAGGUUUGAAAUCUUGCCAUUUCAUCCAGCUCAUCAACUCCGUCCAUUUUUCUCCAUUAGAUGAGGGGCAUUUCCGUCUUUUUAUACACUUUUUUUUAUUAAAAUAAAGACACUAUAAGAAAUAAAGAUUCACCUCUGUUGAUUUCUCCCCAUCCAAAUGCUUUAAUCAUCACAAAAAAAAUGUCUAAAAAGACGGAAAUGCCCCUCAUUUAACGGAGAAAAAUGGAUGGAGUUAACGAGUUGGAUGAAAAUUGCAAGAUUACAAACCUUUUGGAUCUAGAUGGGGAAAAACAAAUAGCAAGAGAAGACGAUAAGUUUGGAAGUUCAAUGGAGUUGGCCCGUCAAGAAAUAGAAUUGAAUCCAUCUCGAAGAUGACCCGUUUUAAGCUGGUUCAUUGCAAUUCUUUUGUUUUUGUUUUAUUUUAUAUUUUGUCUUGAUAUUCUUUAGGUUGGCAGGGAAACAAAUUGUUCUCUUGCUUGCCAGAGGCAUUAGCUGUGUACUGUUUCUAGAAAAGACAGCAAACCCACAACCAUCACUGCCCUUUCAUACUCAGGUAGACAUGGAUAUGGAAGAUGAGGACGCUUCUCAGGAAUCUGGAAGUACUGUUGGUGGAGGAAACAUGGUUGGAAGUAUUUUCUUUAUAUAGUCUACCUUCCACAACAUUUGAUCUUUAAUGUUGUUAGGUAUACCCCCUAUGACCAGCUAAAAGCUAUCAUCUUUGUUCACAAGGACUGCCUUUUACAUUGGCUCAAUCACAGCAAAGCGACAAUGCGAGAGGUGGAAAGCUUCACGGGUUGGGUAACUUGUCAAAACGGGCUUACGGGUCAGGGGGAAGAAACAAGGCAAGACAUCUGAGAGGGAUGUGAACAAGGUAAAGGUGGAUGAGAGGUCACAGUAACAAGUAUCAAAUAUUCAGCUGCAAAGGGGUCGAAAAGAUUGACUUGUAGUUAACUGAAGUUUACUAAAAUUGUUAAAUUUGUGAUGAUUUAUGAAGAUGGUUUCCAGUUAUGUUUGCGUACGAAAAGCCUGCCACUUUUGCG